AUGGGGCGGGGGAGGGGGUAAUCAAGGGCAGAAGACACAGCAUGUGAGGGACUCAGGGAUGAGAAUGAUCCCAGCAGCGACGGCUGUGGGAGGAAAUGAGAGAGGAAGAGGGGCAUCCAUGCAGCUGGAACAUAGACUUUGCGGAGGAGAGAUGCUCAAGCCAGGGGUCAGGCCACCUCGGAGAGACAUUCUUUAGUGAGAAAAGGAAGAGGCUUUACCCCAUUUUUCAUAGCGGCAGAUGCAGCAGGUUCACAGGAAACAAAUGCACAGCAGCCCCUUUCCAUGAAUUGGAGGAGGAGGAGAGAUGGAGAGAUGGCGAGAUGGCGGCCAGUGAGGAAGGGGCCAAUGGGCAAGGAAGGAAAUGCACCAAGAAAAAAGAGGAAGGAAGUGUUUGUUUCUAUUA
rnacentral:lncRNA from 1 species